rnacentral:snRNA from 1 species
AUACUAACCUGAGAGGGGAGACACCACAAUCAAGAAGGUGUUUUUCCCAGAGUGAGACUCAUCCAUUCCACUUGUCAUGUGCUAACUCCUACGCUUUCCCCAAAUGCAGAAAACUUGACUAUAUAAUUUGUGGUAGUGGGAGACUGUGCUCACACUCUGCCCUG